rnacentral:rRNA from 1 species
UACGAAGGGGGGCUAGCGUUGCUCGGAAUGACUGGGCGUAAAGGGCGCGUAGGCGGAUGGCACAGUCAGAUGUGAAAUUCCCGGGCUUAACCUGGGGGCUGCAUUUGAUACGUGUUGUCUUGAGUUCGGAAGAGGGUCGUGGAAUUCCCCAGUGUAGAGGUGAAAUUCGUAGAUAUUGGGAAGAACACCGGUGGCGAAGGCGGCGACCUGGUCCGACACUGACGCUGAGGCGCGAAAGCGUGGGGAGCAAACAGG